rnacentral:lncRNA from 1 species
UGCAUGUGUUGUUUGCCUGUGGUGAGGAGCAUGGGGCACUGGCUUGUGUUGCAGUGGUUUCUAGGGAAGAGCAGGUUGCAUUUGUGAGAACUAACCCAACUUGUAUAGCUGUGACUAAGGCUAAUAGUUAUAUACAAUUUGAACUCUUAGCUCUUAAUUCCUUUGCAUAUGACAGUGUCAUCUUCUUUUAAUGAUCUGACUCUUGCUUCAAACCUGCCUAAUUGUAAAGUCGCCAAGACUAUCUAAACUGAGCUUUUAAUUCUGGAAGUUCUCGUAGCACCUCUGUUGUGUCCGCUUACCUGAAAGCCCAGCCUAACUCUCUUCACUGACACUUAAAUACAGUGUUCAGACAGUUGCUUUAAGCUCUGUUCUGUUUGUGGUAAGCUGUCAUACUUGAGAUGCCUGAGGGUGCUUAGCAGCGUUAUUAACUGAGCAUGCUCACAAACUGAGUUUGUGGCACAGGCUGUCCCUGUUCUUGUUAUGCAUAAUAUGGCUUCUUCUGUGCCAUUACCCUUUGAUGCAUCACAUUACAUCAUGCCCUUCAUUUGCUGUCGUUAUCACUGCCUGUCUGACUAACAUCAAGGUUUGUUGGGUUUAGUUUUGGGGGUUUUUCUCUUUGGUUAGCAGUAACCAAACUAAUGCAGACUGGUCAAUCUUCCCUUCCUUCUUGGGUAUAUUUUAGAGGGUAAAUUUCAUUGCUCUUGAGACAGUACCGUCACUUGUCAAUUAACUGCUUACAAGAGAGAAGACUUGUCUUCCUCACCUUCCAUGAACAGAUGGGCCCUGAAAAUGAGAAGCUCCAGCCUAAUUCUCAUUUUGAAGGACUAUGAUAACGUUGAGAAGUAUUCAGAUGAUUUAUCUGAUUUCAUUUCCCAUGUGACAAAAAUAUAUAAAAUUUUAGGUGUUGACUUCCAAGUAGUAGCUAAUUGUAAAGACAUUUGUCUUUGCCGAUGUCUCUAUUGUGUGUAUAGCCAUACGGAUAAAUGCUCUGGGCAAGCAUUACUGUAUGCAAUUAGCCUGACAAGUGUGCUAAUACUUCCCCAGAUAGACUGCUAGAUGAGAACUGUGACUUUUUCCUACUAAUAAUGUUUUAAAUAUUAAUUCUAUUUUCUAACUGCAGGCACGUGACACAAGCUGACCUCAAGAGCUCAACAUUCUGGCUUCGAGCAAGCUUUGGUGCUACUGUCUUUGCAGUCGUGGGCUUUGCUAUGUACAGAGCACUAUUGAAACAGCGAUGAUUAAGAUCAAGAACCGGCCUCCCACACACACACUUCUAUGUACAUCCUGAAUGCUUUAAGUUCUGCUAGAGACACUGAGAUAUUUAUACAUGCAGAGUUACUUUAUUAAUAUUAGUAAUUCAUGCAUAAGAGUAUUUUACUCAUAGUAAUGACUGCAGUAUUGGCUGGCAUGUGGAAAGAAAACAUCUUAGUAGCCAAAUAUAAAUGGCUAAGUUUCAAAGGCCAAAAGGGAAUAUUCUGUAAAUAAUGUAAAUAUUCAAGCAAGAUAUGGUCUCCUGAACCGACUUCUAGAAAUGGUAUUUCCAGACAUUUCUCCAGUAGUGUUGUGUGGCCCACCUGCUAGGUUCAGUCCCAGGGGUUGUGUUUACUCAGGUAUCACACGUUAUUUCAAGGGGACUCAGAAUGAGCCUUUGGCUUCUAUAGCCAUUUCUCUCCACUUUUAAGAUCACACAGGAGUCAAGGUCAGCUUUCCAAAACCACUCUGUU